rnacentral:rRNA from 1 species
AAUGAACGUUGGCGGCGUGGAUUAGGCAUGCAAGUCGAGCGAGAACCCAGCAAUGGGGGACAGCGGCGAAAGGGACAGUAAUGUGUAGAUCAUCUGCCCUCAGGCCCGGGAUAGCUGCGGGAAACUGCAGGUAAUACCGGAUAACAUCUCCGGAUCAAAGGUGUGAUUCCGCCUGAGGAUGAGUCUACAUCCUAUUAGCUAGUUGGCAGGGUAACGGCCUACCAAGGCGAUGAUGGGUAGCGGGUGUGAGAGCACGACCCGCGUCAUUGGGACUGAGACACUGCCCAGACACCUACGGGUGGCUGCAGUCGAGAAUCUUCGGCAAUGGGCGCAAGCCUGACCGAGCGACGCCGCGUGCGGGAUGAAGGCCUUCGGGUUGUAAACCGCUGUCAGAGGGGAGGAAGGCUCCGUGAAGAACGGGGUUUGACCUAUCCUAGGAGGAAGUACGGGCUAAGUUCGUGCCAGCAGCCGCAGUAA